AGAGUCAUACUUUCUAUUUCAACUUCCAGAAGACAUGACCAAAUAGAGAUAGAAUGGAAUUAACAGGGUUGCAAAUUCAAGAAGAAAAAUGCAGGUUUAUGUAGGCUGUAGAAGUACUGGCCCCCCUAGCUACGCCACUGGCCACUGUGGUAGCAGGCUAUGCGACACAAACACAUUCAAUCAUGGGCCGACCGAGGAAACAUAAAACUGACCAAGGAACAACUGCACGACACACGCUUCAUCAUUUCAUCAUAACAAGCACAAAUCUUAACAUUAUGUUACCGUACUCCCGUAGAUCGGUAGAUAGCACAGGAACUGGGUAAUUUCUCUGGAACUCAGGCAACGGCGACGACCGUCCCUGCCAACGUCGGCG
rnacentral:lncRNA from 1 species